rnacentral:misc_RNA from 1 species
UAGUCGUAACAAGGUAGCCGUAGGGGAACCUGCGGCUGGAUCACCUCCUUUCUAAGGAUAUUCGCGAAAGCGCCUCGGCUAGCCCGGGGAAGGGCUUCGCGGUCUCCAAAGAACAUUGCCGUCGUCCUCAUGUCCUUUCAUCAAUCGGAAUACAGCGCGCUACUGGUGCGCUGUGUGCCUGAGCCGGCUCACGCCCAUGCGGCAGCCUGUUCCUUCGGGAAUGGCGGCCGGACGCGGUGGUGUGGGCCUGUAGCUCAGUUGGUUAGAGCGCACCCCUGAUAAGGGUGAGGUCAGAGGUUCAAAUCCUCUCAGGCCCACCAUUACCUUACAAGGGGCCUUAGCUCAGCUGGGAGAGCACCUGCUUUGCAAGCAGGGGGUCAUCGGUUCGAUCCCGAUAGGCUCCACCAGGUACUUCAAGUUCCGAUAGAUGAAACGAAAGCGGAUCCUGCUACGGCAGGCUAGGCAGCUCGGCUGCCGAUCUUUGACAUUGUGAAUGGGUUUUUAAAUCGAUGCCGUGGCGCAUGGAUUGUAUCGAACGGGCUUCGGCCUGGGCGGUCGAUCGUGCAUCACAAAUCAAUCAAAUUGAUUAUCUGGCUGAGAUAAUUCUCCCACCAUCUCCAAGCGGUCAGGCUUUUAUGCAGGCCUGUCGUU